UACGAAGGGGGCUAGCGUUGUUCGGAAUUACUGGGCGUAAAGCGCACGUAGGCGGAUAUUUAAGUCAGGGGUGAAAUCCCAGAGCUCAACUCUGGAACUGCCUUUGAUACUGGGUAUCUGGAGUAUGGAAGAGGUGAGUGGAAUUCCGAGUGUAGAGGUGAAAUUCGUAGAUAUCUGGAGGAACACCGGUGGCGAAGGCGGCAUCCUGGACCAACACUGACACUGAGGAGCGAAAGCCAGGGGAGCAAACGGG
rnacentral:rRNA from 1 species